rnacentral:rRNA from 1 species
AGAGCGAACGCUGGCGGCAGGCCUAACACAUGCAAGUCGAGCGCCCGUAGCAAUACGGGAGCGGCAGACGGGAUAGUAACACGUGGGAACGCGCCCUUCGGUUCGGAAUAACUCAGGGAAACUUGAGCUAAUACCGAAUACGCCCUUACGGGGAAAGAUUUAUUGCCGAAGGAACGGCCCGCGUCCGAUUAGCUAGUUGGUGAGGUAAUGGCUCACCAAGGCUACGAUCGGUAGCUGGUCUGAGAGGAUGACCAGCAUCACUGGGACUGAGACACGGCCCAGACUCCUACGGGAGGCAGCAGUGGGGAAUAUUGGACAAUGGGCGCAAGCCUGAUCCAGCCAUGCCGCGUGGAUGAUGAAGGCCUUAGGGUUGUAAAGUCCGUUUUAACGGGGAAGUAUAAGUGACGUACCGUAGAAUAAGCCCGGCUAACUUCGUGCCAGCAGCCGC